UGAUAUGAGUUUCACUUAAUCUGACAAGAAUUGUACACAUAAGAGUGCUAACAAGACCGGACGAUCGGACGCCCGGUAUUUUUAUGUCUCCUGCAACGCGUUUAGCUCAGUAAUCAAAAAUACAAAAACCCAAGGUUGAAGACUCAAAUUCCUUGAAAGAGAAGUCACUUCAGUUCCUAUAUUCCGAAGUUCCUAAAUUAUAUAGAAGUGCCGCUGUAAUGAGGUCCGUUUUUUGAUAUGUCAAAUAUAAGAUUGGGUGGGAAACUUUACAUCAAAUAUUUAUGAAUUGAAUGAUGAUAGUUUCGAGGAAACAAUAAAAUUUGGUUGAAAAUAUAAAUAUAUGUAUUGGUGAGUAUUUUGAAUUUAAACAAAAAUCUAACUAGUGUCGGAUUCUGGGGGAGUAA
rnacentral:lncRNA from 1 species